rnacentral:rRNA from 1 species
CUGCGGGAAAAGGAUUUAUUCGCUUCAGGAUGGACUCGCGUCCAAUUAGCUAGUUGGUGAGGUAACGGCCCACCAAGGCGACGAUUGGUAGCCGGACUGAGAGGUUGAACGGCCACAUUGGGACUGAGACACGGCCCAGACUCCUACGGGAGGCAGCAGUGGGGGAUAUUGCACAAUGGGGGAAACCCUGAUGCAGCGACGCCGCGUGGAGGAAGAAGGUUUUCGGAUUGUAAACUCCUGUCGUUAGGGACGAUAAUGACGGUACCUAACAAGAAAGCACCGGCUAACUACGUGCCAGCAGCCGCGGUAAAACGUAGGGUGCAAGCGUUGUCCGGAAUUACUGGGUGUAAAGGGAGCGCAGGCGGACCGGCAAGUUGGAAGUGAAAACUAUGGGCUCAACCCAUAAAUUGCUUUCAAAACUGCUGGCCUUGAGUAGUGCAGAGGUAGGUGGAAUUCCCGGUGUAGCGGUGGAAUGCGUAGAUAUCGGGAGGAACACCAGUGGCGAAGGCGACCUACUGGGCACCAACUGACGCUGAGGCUCGAAAGCAUGGGUAGCAAACAGGAUUAGAUACCCUGGUAGUCCAUGCCGUA